rnacentral:lncRNA from 1 species
GGUCAAGGCGACAUACCGUCUAUAAAGUAUGGUGGACGUUCCUAUUGGCGGGUACUUGUAAAUAAUAUUUUUUUUUUUUUUUUUUUUUUCGCGGCGCCGUUCCCCUUUAAACGGCGACUCGGCGAGGCGUCAUUAAGAGACAAAACUCGCUUUCAAUUCGCGGAAAAAGUUGGAAAACUCGUCACGGUGUUGUGCGCAAACGUGCUGUGAUUGCCGGCGCAAGGGGACCAGUUGGCCAAGUUUGAACGGCGGAGUUGAUGGUGUCGCGGAAUCGGGGUGCACGUCGCGUCGUCCGAUGGCGGGACUUGGUCUAGGUCGGCCGUAAACUGACAACUUCCCGGGCCUCACAUACCAAUGGUGCGGGCUCGCCUGGCUGUCCGCGAUACUUGCCUCGGGGCCAACAUACCAAUGCCACCUCGGCUACGCCACGGUGAACGAAGAAUUCUAUUGGGUAGCGGAUACCACGUAAGGGAUGUAAUUUGCGUACGGGUCUUUCAAUCUGGUACCGGUCCAUUCAAGUUUAGUGUGCAAGUCUCGCCUGUUCGUUGUUUGUCUACCGCCAUGUUGGGUAAGAACGUUCGUCCGAACGGUCGCGAAAUAACGUUUGUUACUUAGACAGUAAUACAAGGACUAACGGCUCUGAUAACAACUUUGUUUUAUUGAUAUCGAAGUCGAUUGAGUUUCAGGAAGACUUCGAGUCCAUGUUCCGUUGUCGAAAGCAUCGCACCACCCCAUUAGGCCUACCUGUUGAUCGCAAGCCGAGGAAUCUCCUGUCACAACGGAUGACUGUGCUUCUGGUCCAUGUGCCUUGUAUCAUGACUAGAUCCACACUCAUCCACUGUGUCGGGAAUCACGACCGACCUUUGUUUCUUAUCACCCGUUUUUUGUUCUACCGAUAGCACUUCACGCGAUUACUAUUGGUGUAGGUGUACAACUAAGUUUCAUGUUUUAACGGCAAACUUUGUAAAGUAACGUAAUCUCUCAAAAACUUUAUAUUUUAUUAUUACCUAACUUCCUUUUUAUAUAUAUAUAUAUGUAGCUCUCUUACUAAUAAAAAUUUUCUUUAGAAUUAUAUAUAUAUAUAUCAGUAGACAUUUUAUUAGGCGCAACGUGCUCCGUUCGCCUUUUAAAAGAAUAGGGUUUUAGUAUUGCCCGGCACGGACCAGCGGUUGUGUUAAGAUUUUUAAACUUUAUCUCGAGUUCCGACGACGGACUUAACGGAAAUUGUUUUCAAUCUAACUUUUGAUAUUUUAACAAUACCAUUUUCCUUAAUGCUAUUAAUGUCAGAUCGUCCUUGCUGCGGGCAAUUUUCUCUCCGUAGACCGGCUGCGACAUCUAGCGCCGCAAAACGAAACUAGAUUUCAAAUUUUCCGUUUUUAGUGCAGUUUUUUUUUCUUUUCCCCCUCUAGCUCGAUUGUAACUAGGCAGGAAAAUUCCCGAAUUCAAUACGCUAGCAGUAAGUAAUCCCAUUCGGUUUUGAAACAUCCUUAGAAGAAGUUUUUUUUAUGCAUUCGAGUAGGAAAAUACUGUCGUUUCAGAUUCUGUGAACUAAUCGGGUUUGGCAACUAGAUUGUUCAGCACAUAAAAAAGAAGUGCAAUCCCGGAUAAGGUGGUUUUUAUAUGACUAAUUAAGCGAUAUCACAGUAUCUAUAUAAUAUUGAACGACUGUUCUUUUGUUAAUUGAUUUAUUUCUGUUCAAUUGUAUAAAUUUUUUUUUUUUAAUUUGAUACAGUAACAGCAUCUGUUAAGUUCGCCAUUAUUUUUAAAUACAAAAUCAGUAAUUCAACAAAUCCGAUUGGAUGUUACUGAUUCAAUAU